AGUGAACGCUGGCGGUAGGCCUAACACAUGCAAGUCGAACGACAGCACAGUAAGAGCUUGCUCUUACGGGUGGCGAGUGGCGGACGGGUGAGGAAUACAUCGGAAUCUACUUUUUCGUGGGGGAUAACGUAGGGAAACUUACGCUAAUACCGCAUACGACCUACGGGUGAAAGCAGGGGAUCUUCGGACCUUGCGCGAUUGAAUGAGCCGAUGUCGGAUUAGCUAGUUGGCGGGGUAAAGGCCCACCAAGGCGACGAUCCGUAGCUGAUCUGAGAGGAUGAUCAGCCACACUGGAACUGAGACACGGUCCAGACUCCUACGGGAGGCAGCAGUGGGGAAUAUUGGACAAUGGGCGCAAGCCUGAUCCAGCCAUACCGCGUGGGUGAUGAAGGCCUUCGGGUUGUAAAGCCCUGUUGUUGGGAAAGAAAAGCAGUAGGUUAAUACCCCGCUGUUCUGACGGUACCCAAAGAAUAAGCACCGGCUAACUUCGUG
rnacentral:rRNA from 1 species